GGGACACCGCUGUCCCCUCCGUCAGCUCCAUUUCCGGCCGCUACAGCACCAUCUACGACUUCUAUGGCUUCCCCAGAUCCAUGUACCAGAUCAAGUACCCCGCCCCCGGCUCCCCCCACCUCGCCAACCGCGUCAAGCAGCUGCUGACCUCGUCGGGCUUUGGCCGCGUCGACGUGGACACCCAGCGGGGGCUCGACCACGGCUCCUGGGUCCCGCUCAUGUUGAUGUACCCGGAGGCAGACAUCCCAGUUUGCCAGCUGUCGGUCCAGUCGGGGAGGGACGCCACUUAUCACUACAACAUGGGGAAGGCGCUGGCCCCACUGAAGGACGAGGGUGUUCUUAUAGU
rnacentral:lncRNA from 1 species